rnacentral:rRNA from 1 species
GACGAACGCUGGCGGCGUGCUUAACACAUGCAAGUCGAACGGGCCCGCACCUUUUUUUUGGGGGCGGGUUGAGUGGCGAACGGGUGAGUAUCACGUGAGUAACCUGCCCUCCUCUCCUGGAUAACCGCUUGAAAGGGCGGCUAAUACGGGGUGGUCCGGUUGGUCCGCAUGGGCCGGCUGGGAUAGUUUCAUCUUCGGGUGUUUCGGUGGGGGAUGGGCUCGCGGCCUAUCAGCUUGUUGGUGGGGUGAUGGCCUACCAAGGCGGUGACGGGUAGCCGGCCUGAGAGGGUGGGCGGCCACACUGGGACUGAGACACGGCCCAGACUCCUCGGGAGGCAGCAGUGGGGGGUAUUGCACAAUGGGCGGAAGCCUGAUGCAGCGACGUCGCGUGAGGGAUGGAGGCCUUCGGGUUGUGAACCUCUGUUUCCGGUGGUGAAGGCCCUGCCCUU